rnacentral:rRNA from 1 species
GGAGUUAGCCGGUGCUUCUUCUGUGAGUGAUGUCCUUCCUGCCGGCUAUUAACCCGCAGGCCUUCUUCCUCACUGAAAGUGCUUUACAACCCGAAGGCCUUCUUCACACACGCGGCAUGGCUGGAUCAGGGUUGCCCCCAUUGUCCAAUAUUCCCCACUGCUGCCUCCCGUAGGAGUCUGGGCCGUGUCUCAGUCCCAGUGUGGCUGAUCAUCCUCUCAGACCAGCUACGGAUCGUCGCCUUGGUGAGCCGUUACCUCACCAACCAGCUAAUCCGACAUAGGCUCAUCCGAUAGCGCGAGGCCCGAAGGUCCCCCGCUUUCCCCCGUAGGGCGUAUGCGGUAUUAGCCUGGGUUUCCCCAGGUUAUCCCCCACUACCGGGCAGAUUCCUAUGCAUUACUCCACCCGUCCGCCGCCUCCGCCACCGACGGGACGACGAACGCCGUCCCCGUCGCUCGCCGCUCGUACUUCGCAUGUGUUACGGUCCGUCGCCGCCGACGCGUUACUAACUCUGACGCCGACGGACUACAAACCUACUCGACGUAGACGGCGGGCGUCGGACGAACGGCGCGAGUAG